rnacentral:lncRNA from 1 species
ACUUAUUCGUAGGAUACUUAAACGUCUAUGCAGUUGACCACAAAGUUAAAUGUCGGGUUUUAUUUUUUUUUUUACUUUCGGUAUAAAACAAAACUAAUUGGAUUAUGGUAUAUUCCCCCUACUUUCGUAAUAUCGGUCACAAAAGGGUAUUUAGGACAUGUCUAUGUGUCCGUCGUGUUUUACUAAACUGUACAGUGUACACAAACGUAUUACAUUUACAAGUAUACAAUAUGCAAUAAUAUUCAAUUGCGUAUAUUUGUAGUAUACUUGUUCUUGUCAACCUGAACAAAAAAAUCGAUCUAUUCCGCGCAAUCAAAGUUGUCGAUGUCUUAAUAGACAUGAUUCGUCUGUAGUAAAACGUCAUUGCCUUUUGUAACGAAAUGCACACUGCUUGAAAAUAGACAAACAAACAAUAAACGAAC